CAUCGGGAGUAGAGAGUGAUGGGGAGAAAGAGAGAGAAGGUCAGAGAGGUCAGUAAAGUCCAGACCAUGCACAGCUUCAGGGCAGGUGAAGAAUGGGAAGCUAUUGGCAGACUUUAAGCAGGGGAAUGUCAUGAUCUAAUGUUUUCAAAAGACCACUCUAGCAGAAGGAGUGUGAUGGAGUGAGAGUGGGUGUGGGAAGAGCAGUUAUAUGACCAUUUAAGCGAUCUUAGCUGGCAUGAUGGCAGCUCUGCAAUGAAGACCAGGAGAUGAACACAGGACAUAUUUUGGAGUUGUAGCUGAUCGGGCAUACUGAUGGAUUAGAGGCGGGUAGCAGUAAGCAAGGGGUCUUUGAAGAGUUCACCAAGGAGCUUCAAAAUGAGGAACAGUGCUUGCAAUUUCCUUGAAUACUAAGAACAUCCAGCUAUUUGUAGACAGAUAAAAGAGAGCAGCCCCUAGAGGUGCUGAUCCAGCCAAGAUAGCUCAUCCAGUUCUCAACAGGACUAAAGGACUUAUCCUAUGCCUAGUUUUU
rnacentral:antisense_RNA from 1 species